CAAGAGAGAUUGAGGAAGAGAGCGCGCGCACGAGUCUCACCCCUAAUCUCUGGUCUUCAUCUGUCAUCAUUCUCAUUUAGCGGCAGCAACCAUGAAAGGUCUUCUUCUUCUUCCUCCAUCGUGGUGUCGCGUGGAAGCAUUGAGAUUCAUUUUGCUCUCCCCUAUUUUACACCGCGGAACACGAACCAUCGCGGGUCAUCGUAAAGCUCAUCCGGUCAUCAUUCUUUUCCAUCGCCGGCUGUGGGUUCUUCGAUUUUGGCCUGUGACGGUCAUCCUUUGCUGCAAAAGCAGCGUCCCCUUCUUCCUCCCGCUCAUAGUCACUGAUUUGGGAUGAAGAAGCUUCAAGUUCUUCUCAUUGUUCUCAACUGACUUGGGGAUCUAGAGAAAGCAAAUCUCAAUUGAAGUGGUAAGGAAGAGCAGAUUGAAAUCCUAAGAAAUCAAUUCUUGUACUUGGGUGUAUUAUAGAUAAAUGAAUAGCAUCUCAAUGACUCUUUGACAAAUUCAUUUUUAAUAUAUAUAUAUAUAUAUAUAUAUAUUGAUUUAGCAUAUUUAUGUGCCAUCUCUUUUAUUUAUAUAAUCCUUUUUAUUCCACGAGAACAAAUGAUAGAGUAUUUUAAUUUAUUUAUUUAUUUUGGUUCAUAAUCUUAAUUUUAUUAUCAAUUGUCCUACAUGAAAAUGUUUUUUAUUAUAUUAUGUUUUAUAGAACAUGUUGGAUUUAUCUUUCAAUUGAACAUUUAAAAAUAUCUACUAUAUUGAAAAUGUUAAUUUUAUAUUUAAAGAAUAAUUUAACUAUCAUGAUUCAUGCACAGGAUAUCUACAGAUGCAUUCAUUCAUGUUGAAUAUGAUGAGAAAUGUUGAAAAUAAAUAGUAUAUUGAUUUUAUUGACCCAUGUAUGUUUGAUUUAAAAUAUGGGAUUGAAUCAAAACGCUAAUUACUAACGAUAAUAU